AGAUAUGACACAGAACACCGAUCGCGAAGGCAGCUCACUAAGUUGUAACUGACGCUCAGGCACGAAAGCGUGGGGAUCAAACAGGAUUAGAUACCCUGGUAGUCCACGCUGUAAACGAUGAUCACUCGAUGUUGGCGAUAUACUGUCAGCGUCUAAGCGAAAGCAUUAAGUGAUCCACCUGGGGAGUACGAUCGCAAGAUUGAAACUCAAAGGAAUUGACGGGGGCCCGCACAAGCGGAGGAGCAUGUGGUUUAAUUCGAUGAUACGCGAGGAACCUUACCUGGGCUAGGACGCUGGGCGACCGUCCGGGAAACCGGAUUUCUCUUCGGAGCGGCCAGCGAGGUGCUGCAUGGUUGUCGUCAGCUCGUGCCGUGAGGUGUCGGGUUAAGUCCCAUAACGAGCGCAACCCCUAUCAUUAGUUGCCAUCAGGUCAUGCUGGGAACUCUAGUGAAACUGCCUACGCAAGUAGUGAGGAAGGUGGGGAUGACGUCAAAUCAGCACGGCCCUUACGUCCAGGGCUACACGCGUGCUACAAUGGCCGGUACAAAGGGCAGCUACCUGGUGACAGGAUGCUAAUCUCAAAAACCGGUCUCAGUUCGGAUCGAAGUCUGCAACUCGACUUCGUGAAGUUGGAUUCGCUAGUAAUCGUAUAUCAGCAAUGAUACGGUGUAUACGUUCCCGGGCCUUGUACACACCGCCCGUCAACCAUGGGAGUUGGGGGUA
rnacentral:rRNA from 1 species